rnacentral:rRNA from 1 species
CCGUAGGUGAACCUGCGGAGGGAUCAUUACACAAAUAUGAAGGCGGGCUGGAACCUCUCGGGGUUACAGCCUUGCUGAAUUAUUCACCCUUGUCUUUUGCGUACUUCUUGUUUCCUUGGUGGGUUCGCCCACCACUAGGACAAACAUAAACCUUUUGUAAUUGCAAUCAGCGUCAGUAACAAAUUAAUAAUUACAACUUUCAACAACGGAUCUCUUGGUUCUGGCAUCGAUGAAGAACGCAGCGAAAUGCGAUAAGUAGUGUGAAUUGCAGAAUUCAGUGAAUCAUCGAAUCUUUGAACGCACAUUGCGCCCUUUGGUAUUCCAAAGGGCAUGCCUGUUCGAGCGUCAUUUGUACCCUCAAGCUUUGCUUGGUGUUGGGCGUCUUGUCUCUAGCUUUGCUGGAGACUCGCCUUAAAGUAAUUGGCAGCCGGCCUACUGGUUUCGGAGCGCAGCACAAGUCGCACUCUCUAUCAGCAAAGGUCUAGCAUCCAUUAAGCCUUUUUUUCAACUUUUGACUUCGGAUCAGGUAGGGAUACCCGCUGAACUUAAGCAUAUCAAUAAGCGGAGGA